rnacentral:lncRNA from 1 species
AAGUUUUUGAGGUUCCCUCUGUAGGGAUUAUCGCGGAUUGGCAAAAUUUACUUCCCUCACCUUGCUGGGGAGGGAGGAGACUUCAUUAAAAGCCUCCCAUUUGAAUCUUUUCACCAGGGCAAGUUACUUGGUAACUUGAGCUGCAGUCGUUCCUGAAAUUCUUUCACAUAAUUGAAGAUUAAUUUGAUUCCCCAGCUUGUUGAGGGUAGUUGACAGUGGGGGGCUGGGGUGGGUGGAAAUAGAUUAUUCAAAUCACAAAGAAGUAGGUGUGCCCUAAGUGACUGUUCCAUUACGGCGAGGAAGAAAUGUUUGCCUUCCUAAGCAUUCAUCCAACUCGCUGCUGCCGAUUGUGUGGGGCCGGAGGAGAGUGCCUGCUCACGAUCGGAAAGCAGCAUGGAGGAGAAAGACUACACAGCAUGGCUAAAGACUUGGAGAUCUGACUUGAAUAUUUUAAAGGACGUAUCUUAAAGGUAGGUGGCAUUGCAAACAGGUACACAAAAGGGAAAGGGGUGAAGGGAUUCGUGGAGAGAAAGAGGGAAGGGAAGGGGAUGAAAAGGGACUUAAGAUGUGUUAUAUACAACAUGACCUAUCUAUGUACAAUAUGGCUGGG